CCCGAGUCCCCUUUCCAGUGGUGUGUGUUGGUGGGGGAGGCAGACAGCAGCCCAGCGACCUCUAUCUCUGUCCAGGUUUCCGAACGGUGGAUGGGGCUGCCUGGAGAGCUGGUUUCCUCUUCUGGGAAAGUCUGAUAGGGAAUGUUGUGGCAGGGGGCAGGCAAUGGGUAGUGGAGAAACAGAUGUCAACCCUUGGCUUCACCUCCUGCCUGGGGACACGCAGUCACUCACCUGCCUAUCUCUCGUCCGUCGGGGAUGGGGACCGCCGGGGUUGGCCCGAGGAGGAUAGGGCGGAGGUCCCUGUGUGGAGUCCUGGCCCGACUGCGGGAGCGGCGGGGAGGCCGAACGUUGUGGAUCGCAGGGCGGGGAGGGGCGCGGAGGGGCGGGGGGCAGGAAGGGGGUGGGAACUCGGGUCCUCGCCAAGGCAGGAAGUUUUGACAAGGAAACCGGGAGCCGGGGGAGGGGAGCUCCACAGUGCCCGGGAGGGAAGCUAUGUAGGGGUGGGACCAGGGAGGCCGAGCGGCGGGACCGACCCCUGCAGCCUGGACCGGGAGCAGAGAGGGGUGAGCAGGGGAGAAGAGCAGGGGCCCCGGGUCCAAGUCCCUCCUCGGUUCUUCACCAGCUGUGCGGCCUCGGGGUACUCCACCUCUGAGGCCUCAGCUUUCCUAUCUGCAAAGUGGGGUGGUGGAGGGCAGUGAGGUCGUCUGCAUCGGGCACCUUCCCAGUGCGGCCCAACAACCGUGAUCUUAUUAAAAACCUAACCCGAGGACCGACUGGCCGCAUCCCUGUCUGGGAGAGGCGGACCUGGGAAAGGCCUCUCCACUUCCCUAGCCGCCCAAAAGCACACUGAGUGAGGGUGUGAUCCUGGGAAGCAGUGUUCCACGGAGCCUCCGCCUCUACCCGCCGGAUUGGUCCUAAGCCCGGGCGCUUCGAUGCACCGCGGCGCCGCAGCCUCUGCGCUGACCCAGCCCGAGCCGGGCGCCACCUCGCGGCCAGCGCCCGCCUCCCCACAGCCUGCACAUUCGACCUGGGAGAAUGUUUCACUCCGGAGGUCGACAACCUGUACCCGACCCUUCUGAGG